rnacentral:rRNA from 1 species
UACGUAGGGUGCAAGCGUUGCCCGGAAUUAUUGGGCGUAAAGAGCACGUAGGCGGCUUUGCAAGUCGGAUGUGAAAUCCCACGGCUUAACCAUGGAAGUGCAUCCGAAACUGCAGAGCUUGAGUACUUAAGAGGAUCGCGGAAUUCCCGGUGUAGAGGUGAAAUUCGUAGAUAUCGGGAGGAACACCAGCGGCGAAGGCGGCGAUCUGGGAAGAUACUGACGCUGAGGUGCGAAAGCGUGGGGAGCAAACAGG